rnacentral:rRNA from 1 species
UACGAAGGGGGCUAGCGUUGCUCGGAAUCACUGGGCGUAAAGGGUGCGUAGGCGGGUCUUUAAGUCAGGGGUGAAAUCCUGGAGCUCAACUCCAGAACUGCCUUUGAUACUGAGGAUCUUGAGUUCGGGAGAGGUGAGUGGAACUGCGAGUGUAGAGGUGAAAUUCGUAGAUAUUCGCAAGAACACCAGUGGCGAAGGCGGCUCACUGGCCCGAUACUGACGCUGAGGCGCGAAAAGCGUGGGGAGCAAACAGG